rnacentral:rRNA from 1 species
UACGUGAGGGGCGAACGUUGUUCGGUGUCACUGGGCUUAAAGGGUGCGUAGGUGGUUGUGUAAGUAACGUGUGAAAUCCCUCGGCUUACCCGGGGAAUUGCAUGUUAUACUGCAUGACUUGAGGGUCAAAGGGGAAAAGGGAACUCCAGGUGUAGCGGUGAAAUGCGCAGAUAUCUGGGGGAAGGCCGGCGGCGAAGGCGCUUUUCUGGUUGAUUACCUGACACUGAGGCACGAAAGCGUGGGGAGCAAACAGG